rnacentral:rRNA from 1 species
GACAGAGGAGGCGAGCGUUAUCCGGAGUCAUUGGGCGUAAAGGGUACGUAGGCGGCUAGUCAAGUCUGAGGUUAAAGACCACAGCUUAACUGUGGGAAGGCCUUGGAAACUGACUGGCUAGAGUGGGGCAGGGGUUGCGGGAAUUCCCGGUGUAGCGGUGAAAUGCGUAGAUAUCGGGAAGAACACCUGAGGCGAAAGCGGGCAACUGGGCCCUGACUGACGCUGAGGUACGAAAGCUAGGGGAGCAAAUGGG